rnacentral:misc_RNA from 1 species
GAUGAAGAACGCAGCGAAAUGCGAUACUUGGUGUGAAUUGCAGAAUCCCGUGAACCAUCGAGUCUUUGAACGCAAGUUGCGCCCGAAGCCACUAGGCCGAGGGCACGCCUGCCUGGGCGUCACACGCCAUUGCCCCCCCAUCUACUCCUUCGGGAUUGCGGGGGGCGGAUGAUGGCCUCUCGUGCGCCUCGUCGCGCGGUUGGCCUAAAUGCCAAGUCCUCGGCGACGCACGCCACGACAAUCGGUGGUUGCGAAACCUCGGUUGCCUGUCGUGUGCGGUCGUCGCGCAUCGAGGGCUCGAAAAAAUUGCCGGGCUUCGGCUCGACUUUCAACGCGACCCCAGGUCAGGCGGGGUUACCCGCUGAAUUUAAGCAUAUCAAUAAGCGGAGGA